rnacentral:rRNA from 1 species
GGGUGACUGCGUACCUUUUGUAUAAUGGGUCAGCGACUUAUAUUCUGUAGCAAGGUUAACCGAAUAGGGGAGCCGGAGGGAAACCGAGUCUUAAUUGGGCGUUAAGUUGCAGGGUAUAGACCCGAAACCCGGUGAUCUAGCCAUGGGCAGGUUGAAGGUUGGGUAACACUAACUGGAGGACCGAACCGACUAAUGUUGAAAAAUUAGCGGAUGACCUGUGGCUGGGGGUGAAAGGCCAAUCAAACCGGGAGAUAGCUGGUUCUCCCCGAAAGCUAUUUAGGUAGCGCCUCGUGAACUCAUCUCCGGGGGUAGAGCA